UGAACGCUGGCGGCAGGCCUAACACAUGCAAGUCGAGCGAGACCUUCGGGUCUAGCGGCGGACGGGUGAGUAACGCGUGGGAACGUGCCCUUUGGUUCGGAAUAGCCCCGGGAAACCUGGGAGUAAUACCGGAUGAGCCCUACGGGGGAAAGAUUUAUCGCCGAAGGAUCGGCCCGCGUUGGAUUAGGUAGUUGGUGGGGUAAUGGCCUACCAAGCCGACGAUCCAUAGCUGGUUUGAGAGGAUGAUCAGCCACACUGGGACUGAGACACGGCCCAGACUCCUACGGGAGGCAGCAGUGGGGAAUCUUAGACAAUGGGGGAAACCCUGAUCUAGCCAUGCCGCGUGAGCGAUGAAGGCCUUAGGGUUGUAAAGCUCUUUCAGUGGGGAAGAUAAUGACUGUACCCACAGAAGAAGCCCCGGCUAACUCCGCGCCAGCAG
rnacentral:rRNA from 1 species